rnacentral:rRNA from 1 species
GAUGAACGCUGGCGGCGUACCUAAUACAUGCAAGUCGAGCGAACGGACGAGAAGCUUGCUUCUCUGAUGUUAGCGGCGGACGGGUGAGUAACACGUGGAUAACCUACCUAUAAGACUGGGAUAACUUCGGGAAACCGGAGCUAAUACCGGAUAAUAUUUUGAACCGCAUGGUUCAAAAGUGAAAGACGGUCUUGCUGUCACUUAUAGAUGGAUCCGCGCUGCAUUAGCUAGUUGGUAGGGUAACGGCUUACCAAGGCAACGAUGCAUAGCCGACCUGAGAGGGUGAUCGGCCACACUGGAACUGAGACACGGUCCAGACUCCUACGGGAGGCAGCAGUAGGGAAUCUUCCGCAAUGGGCGAAAGCCUGACGGAGCAACGCCGCGUGAGUGAUGAAGGUCUUCGGAUCGUAAAACUCUGUUAUUAGGGAAGAACAUAUGUGUAAGUAACUGUGCACAUCCUGACGGUACCUAAUCAGAAAGCCACGGCUAACUACGUG